rnacentral:misc_RNA from 1 species
UGGCUCUCGCAUCGAUGAAGAACGCAGCGAAAUGCGAUAAGUAAUGUGAAUUGCAGAAUUCAGUGAAUCAUCGAAUCUUUGAACGCACCUUGCGCCUCUUGGUAUUCCGAGAGGCAUGCCUGUUUGAGUGUCAUGAAUCAUCAAUCCCACGGGUUUCUCACCUGUGUGGACUUGGAACUGGGCGUCUGCCUCCCAAGGCUCGCCUCAAAUGACUCAGUGGGAACUUCUUGACCUACGCCUGACGUGAUAAGUUUCGUCUCGGCUGGUCCUGAGGCCCGCUCACGACCCCCAAUACCUUUUGACAUUGACCUCAAAUCAGGUAGGGCUACCCGCUGA